AACGAACGCUGGCGGCAUGCCUAACACAUGCAAGUCGAACGAGACCUUCGGGUCUAGUGGCGCACGGGUGCGGAACGCGUGGGAACCUGCCCUGAGGUUCGGAAGAACUCCCCGAAAGGGGUGCUAAUACCGGAUAAUGUCUUCGGACCAAAGAUUUAUCGCCUUUGGAUGGGCCCGCGUUGGAUUAGCUAGUUGGUAGGGUAAAAGCCUACCAAGGCGACGAUCCAUAGCUGGUCUGAGAGGAUGAUCAGCCACACUGGGACUGAGACACGGCCCAGACUCCUACGGGAGGCAGCAGUGGGGAAUAUUGGACAAUGGGCGAAAGCCUGAUCCAGCAAUGCCGCGUGAGUGAUGAAGGCCUUAGGGUUGUAAAGCUCUUUUACCCGGGAUGAUAAUGACAGUACCGGGAGAAUAAGCUCCGGCUAACUCCGUG
rnacentral:rRNA from 1 species